AUAGAGUAGAUCCUAGUCCGGGGAGAGAGUCGUGGGGCCCGAACGGUUGAAAGUCGUCAGAUUUGAAGAGAUAAUAAGUGAGGGACUUGCAGGGUCUUGUGAUAUUUACAGACGUGUAUUAGGAGAUCAGAAAACAGAGAAGAGGAAGAGCUAAGGUCAUAAUCACAGGCUGCCUUCAGCUCUUCGGAAAAACUACGCUUCCUCUGCCAUUCCCCAGUCCUCACCCUUACUCCCCAAGGGUGGUAGGGAAGGGAAACGGAGCGAUGGCGGCACUAGGGUGGCAAGGAAGCUUGAAGCCAUGUCAAAUAAAUAGUUGAAAGCACCAGCCGCUGUGGCUCACGCCUGUAAUCCCAGCACUUUGGGAGGCCUAAGGCAGGCGGAUCACCUGAGGUCAGGAGUUCGAGACCAGUCUGACCAAUAUGGUGAAACCCUGUUUCUACUAAAAAUACAAAAUUAGUCGGGUGUGGUGGCGCAUGCCUGUAAUCCCAGCUACUCAGGAGAAUCGUUUGAACUUGGGAGGCGGAGGUUGCAGUGAGCCGAGAUAGCGCCAUUCCAGCCUGGGCAACAAGAGCGAAACUCCUCAAAAAAAAAAAAAAAAAAGAAAAAGAAAUAGUUGAAGGCUCAAGGGAGUUUUUAACCUGCAUAUAAACGAGGGAGGCCGGGCGCAGUGGCUCUCCCCUGUAAUCCCAGCGCAC
rnacentral:lncRNA from 10 species